AGCGAACGUUAGCGGCGCGCCUAACACAUGCAAGUCGCACGAGAACGGAGCAAUCCGCGGUACAGUGGCGCACGGGUGAGUAACACGUGGAUGACCUUCCCUGGAGUGGUGGAUAACCUGCCGAAAGGCGGGCUAAUACAGCAUGGGACCACGACGCUUUUGGCGAUGUGGUGAAAGCGGGCCUCUAUAUAUAAGCUCGCGCUCCGGGACGGGUCCGCGUCCCAUCAGCUAGUUGGUGAGGUAACGGCUCACCAAGGCAACGACGGGUAGCUGGUCUGAGAGGAUGGCCAGCCACACUGGAACUGAGACACGGUCCAGACUCCUACGGGAGGCAGCAGUGGGGAAUCUUGCGCAAUGGGCGAAAGCCUGACGCAGCGACGCCGCGUGGGCGAAGAAGGCCUUGG
rnacentral:rRNA from 1 species